rnacentral:lncRNA from 13 species
CUUAAAACAAAAUACAUUAAAACAAAAUGUCUUCCAGUUUCUGUGGUUCAGAAAUUUGGAAUGCCUUGCUGGGUGGUUCUGGCUUGAGAUCUCUCAUGAAUUGCAGAAUUUACUGAAAGCGCUCCGUGUGAUUCUACUGCCCAGCUGGGCUUAAACCCACUCUCUUUUUUUUUUUUUUUUUGAAGCGGAGUUUCGCUCUUGUUACCCAGGCUGGAGUGCAAUGGCACGAUCUCGGCUCACCGCAACCUCCGCCUCCUGAAACCCACUCUUUUAAAGGCUUUGCUGGAUCACGUAGACAGCAAUCCCCCGACCUGCUAAGGGUGUGCCUGAGUAUGUACGAUAAAGAACAGAAGCAACAGAUUCUCACACCCAGAAAGUUAAGAAUAUUGCCUUCUGGAGGAAGUGAAAUCUUAACCAGCCAUUUUACCGCAGAUACAGCCAAAGAAGAAGGAAAACAAUGCGCUGUGUCCCCCACAGGAACCUGAAAGAGUGUCCCAGGCUAACCACUGUUUAACUCUUGGUCACUCCGCCCAUCUCUCGAGCUUACAUCAGAGCAGGGGUAUGCGGCCCAACUUUCAACAGCACAUGGAAAAGGCUUCAACACAAUGUAGUUAAUGACGUAACUUUACACUCCCACGUCUUCAUGCAGAGGACCAGAUGGAUGGAAAACCGCCGCCUCGUAGGGUUUGGCCUAAUGCUCUAAACAGUGAACGUGUCAGCUUAGUACAGUCCAGUGCUGCAUGACGACGUCUCGGUCAAUGGUAGACCCCGUGUAUGAUGAUGGUCCCAUAACAUUAUCAUGAAGUGAAAACAUUCCUGUCUCCUAGUGACAUCACAGCUGUUGUAAUUUCACCACAGUAAUCACGUGUUUGUUGUGAUGCUGGUAUAAAUAAACUCGCUUCACUGCCAGGCACAUACAAGAAGAACAUACAAUGAUAUACGGGUGUCCCUCUGUCACCUGGGCUGGAAUGCAGUGUUGCCGACACGGUUCGCUGAAGCCUCGACCUUCCAGGCUCAAACCAUCCUCCCACCUCAGCCACCCGUGUGUCUGGGACUACAGGCAUGUACCACCAUGCUCAGCUAAUUUUUUAAAACAUUUUUUAAAUAGAGACAGGUCUCACUAUGUGGCCCAGGCUGGUCUCAGACUCCUACGCUCAAAUGAUCCUCCCACUUCAGCCUCCUGAAGUGCUGGGAUUACAGUUGUGAGCCACUGUGCCUGGCUGCAUCUGAAUUUUUCAUACCUGUCCUGUGUGACGGCCA